CUCUCCACGCUUCCUGCUUCCACCAUGAAGCCGCUGGGUUCAAAGAAGAAAAUUCGCCACAAGCACAGAAUUCUUUCAAGUCCCAGUUUUUAAAUUCAUGUGCACGCUGCCUUCUGCUCGGUAAAUCCAAAGGGAUGCAGACCAGAGCUAAUGCAGAGACCCCAUGGUGUCCACAAGAAACUGAGCUUCUUUCUUUUUUCUCUACUUUUGUCAGUAUUUGGCUUUUAUCUUCUUGGACCCAAUAUAUACU